rnacentral:rRNA from 1 species
GAUGAACGCUAGCGGCAGGCCUAACACAUGCAAGUCGAACGGUAACAGGGUAGCAAUACCGCUGACGAGUGGCGCACGGGUGAGUAACGCGUAUGCAACUUACCUCUGACAGGGGGAUAGCCCGGAGAAAUUCGGAUUAAUACCCCAUACAACCGGUUUAUCGCAUGGUAAACCGGUAAAAAUUCCGGUGGGCAGCGAUGGGCAUGCGUGACAUUAGCUAGUUGGUGAGGUAACGGCUCACCAAGGCGACGAUGUCUAGGGGGCCUGAGAGGGUGGUCCCCCACACUGGUACUGAGACACGGACCAGACUCCUACGGGAGGCAGCAGUGAGGAAUAUUGCGCAAUGGACGAAAGUCUGACGCAGCCAUGCCGCGUGCAGGAUGACGGCCCUAUGGGUUGUAAACUGCUUUUGUACAGGAAGAAACUUCUGAUCGUGAUCAGGACUGACAGUACUGUACGAAUAAGCAUCGGCUAACUCCGUGCCAGCAGCCGCCGUAAAAC